UCCCAGAGCAAGGGGUGUGUGCAGCUGCCUA
rnacentral:piRNA from 1 species